rnacentral:rRNA from 1 species
GAUCAUUAGGGGAAUAUUAUAUUGUGAAUUGCCUUUUUUUUGAAAUGAUAAUGAAAUUGUACGAAUUGAAUGGAAAUGACAACUUUCAACAACGGAUCUCUUGGCUCUCGCAUCGAUGAAGAACGCAGCGAAAUGCGAUAAUUAAUGUGAAUUGCAGUUUUCAGUGAAUCAUCGAGUCUUUGAACGCAUCCUUGCGCUCCUUGGUCCUCCACGGAGCAUGCCUGUUUGAGAGUCACCGGAUUAGUUCGAUCGAUCAUGAUCGAUCGGAGAUGAAGUGUGCCGGGAUCUCUCGGCUACUUUGAAAUGCAGAGGCCUUGACGGUAAUCAAGUCCCAGAUAUGGCUGUAUGGGUUUUAUGCAUGACCUCAAAUCAGGCAAGACUACCCGCUGAACUUAAGCAUAUCAAUAAGCGGAGGAAAAGAAACUAACAAGGAUUCCCUCAGUAACUGCGAGUGAAGCGGGAAAAGCUCAAAUUUGAAAUCGGCCGGUCAUAUGGACCUUAUGCCGAGUUGUAAUCUAGAGAGGCAUCUAUCCUUACUGGCCCAUGUACAAGUCUCUUGGAAUAGAGUGUCAUAGAGGGUGAGAAUCCCGUCUCUAACAUGGACUACCAGUUGUGAAUGGAUGAUGUGUUCGACGAGUCGAGUUGUUUGGGAAUGCAGCUCAAAAAGGGUGGUANAUUCCACCUAAAGCUAAAUAUAGGCGAGAGACCGAUAGCGAACAAGUACCGUGAGGGAAAGAUGAAAAGAACUUUGGAAAGAGAGUUAAGCAGUACGUGANAUUGUUGNNAAGGGANACGCUUANAGUCAGAUGUAUGGAUUGGGAAUCAACUUGGCNAUCGCCGAGUGCNAUGUCACGNAUACAUAGGUCNAGCNAUCGAAUUUUGAUUAUGAG